UAUUUUUCCAUUAUUCAGUACCCAACAGAAGUAAGAGAAAGGCCAUUUUUGUUAUUGCCCUGCUGUUUCUCCUGGGUAAUUGGAUUGUUUAUUUUAGUAUCAUCCUUUCUUGCAGCUCGGUUAUCAUUUAUCACACUUUGCCAUUCAGUGGAGAAUGACUCACUGAAGAGCUAAAACUGAAACUGUUUUCAAACCAUUUCAUCUAAAGCCAAACAUGAUUGAAUAUAAUUCAUCUUUGAGUCCAGUAGAAGAGCUAAAAACUUGCAUGUCUUCUGUGCCUUUGGAAUAACUGCUUGAGUGUUUAGAGACCACCCACCUGGAUGUGUAACUUGGAAGAGUGAGAAAAAGGUGUUCCUGUACAACACAGAGACAGACAAGCUGAGCCCAAGAACCUGACACAUGAGUGGAAGAAGCCAAGAUUGAAAUGAAAUUUCUAGCUCCAGCUCUUCCCGCUGUAGGUGUUUAUAUAUUCACAGCUGAUCUCCCAGACAUCUGGGGACCCAGACAAGCCAUCCUAACUGUGUUCUUUCUGAAUUCCUUUCAAAAUCUAUGAACAUGUUAAAAUUUCUCCUUUUGUAUGCCAUUAAGUUAUAGGAUAGUUUGCUAUGAAGUAAUAUAUAAAUAAAACAGAUGUAUGUUUUAAGAAAAAAUAAAUUAAAAGCUCUUUGCAGAAGUAACACUUUAAGGGUUGCCACUUUAAAUUUUGAUAUAAAUUAUUUUAAUUUAAAUGAUUGAAAAAAUAUAAUUGCGUAAUUUAUUUAAUUGUUCAGCACAUCCAUGUUUUCACUUUUGAUGCCAGGGUACUUUAGAUCUUUUAAUAAAAAAUAAAGCCUGGUGUGUAUUCAUCCUUGCAUUUCCAUUAUCUGUCAUAUUGAUGUGCACAAAACAAAUCCUAAAAAGUAUUUCUUUGGUAAAGUCAACUAAAUAUAUCUGCAUGUAAAAUAUUAGAGAUAGUUUACCAAAGGGGACUUAUCCAAUCAAGUAAUGCAUAAAGGUAUUCUUAUUGUUAAUAAACACUAAAAAAUGACAUUGUAGCAUAAGUAAUCAAGAAAACAACAAACAUACACAAAAUUAUUUCCCUUGAUGAAAUCCACGAAUAUAUAUGGAGCUUCACCAAAGCAGAAUUUUGAUGACUAUACAUACACACACACACACACACACACACGCUGUACUAAAAUGGAGAAGUAACCUAUCAUAAGAGUGACCCUGUAAUAAAUUUGCUCUUAAUUCACACUAAUCCAUACUAUUUAAGAACAAAAGAAGCUGUUUGGACUAAAUAAUGAAAAGUCUGUGUCACUGGCCACAGUUCCAAAUAAAAAACGGUGUGAGAGAAUAAAGUGUAUAUGAAGUGAGAAUAAGAUAUAUAUGGGGCUUCUCAAGAAUUCUGAUAGAGAUGUGUGUGUGUGUGUGUGUGUGUGUGUGUGCAUGGUCUUUUGUAGAAUUCUACUUAGAAGAAGCUCUGUAUAUAUUUUAUCCUCACCUACAAACUGUGGAUUUCAUCUGAAGAUGUGGCCAGUGACCCAGGCUUCUCAUUAUUUAACCCAGGCAAUUUCUGUUGUCCUUCAACAGGACAGAUUAGUGUCAUACAAAGAGGAAAUGAA
rnacentral:lncRNA from 1 species